rnacentral:rRNA from 1 species
UACGUAGGGACCAAGCGUUGUUUGGAUUUACUGGGCGUAAAGGGCGCGUAGGCGGCGUGACAAGUCACUUGUGAAAUCUCUGGGCUUAACCCAGAACGGCCAAGUGAAACUGUUGUGCUAGAGUGCAGAAGGGGCAAUCGGAAUUCUCGGUGUAGCGGUGAAAUGCGUAGAUAUCGAGAGGAACACCAGAGGUGAAGGCGGCUCUCUGGAACGCAACUGACGCUGAGACGCGAAAGCGUGGGGAGCAAACAGG